GCGGUCGUGGCGGAAUGGUAGACGCGCCAGCUUGAGGUGCUGGUGGGGGAAACCCCGUGGAAGUUCGACUCUUCUCGACCGCACCA
rnacentral:tRNA from 10 species